GUAGGUGAACCUGCGGAAGGAUCAUUAAAAAAACAGUCAUUCAAUUGGCGGGUUGCCGCUCCAUCGGGGCGCAGCUUCUACCUUCGACCUGGACAGCUCUGAUAGAACUCCUUCGAGUACCUAUUGAAUAGCCGCAGGUGAUUGGUCUAUCAAUUGUGAACCUACCCGUUGCUUUGGCAGCAUCCCCCCCUUUUUCGGGGUUGUC
rnacentral:misc_RNA from 1 species